GGGGGAUGAUGUCAAGUCAGCACGGCCCUUAUAGGGUGGGCUACACACGUGCUACAAUGGCAACUACAAUAGGUUGCGAGACCGCGAGGUUUAGCUAAUCCAAAAAAGUUGUCUCAGUUCGGAUUGUUCUCUGCAACUCGAGAGCAUGAAGUCGGAAUCGCUAGUAAUCGUGGAUCAUCAUGCCACGGUGAAUACGUUCUCGGGUCUUGUACACACUGCCCGUCACGCCAUGGGA
rnacentral:rRNA from 1 species